rnacentral:rRNA from 1 species
CCGGCUCAGAUUGAACGCUGGCGGCAGGCCUAACACAUGCAAGUCGAACGGUAGCACAGAGAGCUUGCUCUCGGGUGACGAGUGGCGGACGGGUGAGUAAUGUCUGGGAAACUGCCCGAUGGAGGGGGAUAACUACUGGAAACGGUAGCUAAUACCGCAUAACGUCGCAAGACCAAAGUGGGGGACCUUCGGGCCUCACACCAUCGGAUGUGCCCAGAUGGGAUUAGCUAGUAGGUGGGGUAAUGGCUCACCUAGGCGACGAUCCCUAGCUGGUCUGAGAGGAUGACCAGCCACACUGGAACUGAGACACGGUCCAGACUCCUACGGGAGGCAGCAGUGGGGAAUAUUGCACAAUGGGCGCAAGCCUGAUGCAGCCAUGCCGCGUGUAUGAAGAAGGCCUUCGGGUUGUAAGGUACUUUCAGCGGGGGAAGGGAAAGGCGGUGGAAGUU